rnacentral:rRNA from 1 species
ACGGCUCAGUAACACGUCGAUAAUCUGCCCUUAGGUCUAUGCGAACCUCGGGAAACUGAGGCUAAACUUGAUAGGGGUUAUGAACUGGAAUGUUCUUUCCCUGAACUAAGGAUGAGUCGGCGGCAGAUUAGGUAGAUGGAGAGGUAACGGCUCACCAUGCCUAAGAUCUGUACGGGCCAUGAGAGUGGUCGCCCGGAGAGGGAUACUGAGAUACUGAUCCCAGCCCUACGGGGUGCAGCAGGCGCGGAAACUUUACAAUGCACGCAAGUGUGAUAAGGGAAUCCAAAGUGCUUACGCUUUGCGUAGGCUUUUGCCAAGUCUAAACAGCUUGGAGAAUAAGUGGUGGGUAAGACUGGUGCCAGCAGCCGCGGUAACCCCAGCGCCACGAGUGGGAGUCGCUUUUAUUGGGCCUAAAGCGUCCGUAGCCAGUUUUGUAAGUCUUUUGUGAAAUUGUUAGGCUUAACCUGACAGCGUGCAAGAGAUACUGCAAUUCUAGAGACCGGGAGGAGUAUGGGGUAUUCCAUGGGGAACGGUAAAAUGUAAUAAUCCAUGGAGGACCACCAGUGGCGAAGGCGCCAUACUAGAACGGAUCUGACGGUGAGGGACGAAGGCCAGGGGAGCAAAACGGAUUAGAUACCCGAGUAGUCCUGGCAGUAAACUCUGUGUGCUAGGUGUUGCAUUUUCUUGUGAACGUGCAGUAUCGAAGUGAAGACAUUAAGCACACCGCCUGGGUAGUACGGUCGCAAGGCUGAAACUUAAAGGAAUUGGCGGGGGAGCAC